CAGACGCUGAACAACGUGCAGGCGGGCGGGCGGCUGAGCGCGGUCAACAGCCUGGACCGCGGGCGGCCCACCCUCGCACACACACUCAACGCUCUGGCCGAGAGAACGGUCCAAUCGCGCGGCUCUACCAGCCUGGAGCGAGGCCAGGCCAACCAACCGGGCGCCGGGAACGAGGGGGAGAGGGGGAGGACUGGCCAGUCACGCAACACGGCGAGCCUGGACCGACAGAAGGCGAACCUGGGGCGCACUGUGAACACUUUGGAUAGGACGAAAGCCAGCCAAUCGGGCGCGAGCAGUGGAACUUAACGGACUUGGGGAGAAAGGGGCGGGGUUUACAGGGACGCGUGCAGCAGACAAUAUGUGGUGUUAGAAGAGGGUCAUAGGGCAGAGGUCAGAGGUCAAGGUAGUGUUAUACAUGCUCGUUUGGCUCACAAUACCUCCAUUCGAUUUUACUUCAAAACCAUGCACUGCAAACAUUAUCGAUAGUGUUAUCUCACCUUCAAAUGACCAUCCGCUUCAAAUUCAAAUAAUAAUCUACAACCCUUCCGAAAGAAACGUACUAAACUCUGAAAAGGUCAGAUCAGAUCCACGUCUUCAUGCGUCAGUUCAAGAAGAAAGUCACCGCUAUCUAUCAACACUUCAAAAUGAUGUCAGCCCUUUUGGUUUAGCAGACGCACUGCCCAGUGUGAGGUCUAUCAUGGGGCGGGUUUGAAAAGGUGCCGGUACGGUGGUGAACCCUUAAAGAACCCAUCACCUCCGGCCGCCCGUUAGACGGACAGAAAGCCUUCUGGUCGGUCGAGCCGAGAGGAGGACUUGCUGUUGAGCUGUCUGAACAGCACAGGCAUUUAAGCAACGUCACAGCAAACACCGCUCAAAUAAUUCAGUUGACCUACAGAGUCCAGAGUUUCUGUCGAGGGGAUGGCCAGCAGCAACAUGUAUGACUAUAUUUUUUAAAACACAGAAUCAUAUUUUGUCACAGAUGAGAAGCUAACAUUGAUGUUUUGAUGUCACUCGAGGAAUAUUGUCAUGUGUGAGUUGUAGAGAGAGAAAUCUCAUUUAUUUUUACAUUUGAUAGUGGCCAUACAGCGACUCGCAUUCAUUCAAUAUAUCUGGAACUAUAUUCAAGAAGGGUUCCCCAGAAAGGUCUAAUUAUAUAAACAGAGACAUGGAUUCUGAUGUCUGUGGACAGGGUCUAGUGUCCUCAAACACUCAUCAACAAUCCAGCCACAGACAUAUUCUGACUGUGUUUGGCCUUUAACCCAUUCGUUCUUUUAUUUUUUUGCUCUUAUUCUAUGUCAUGUUUUAUUUAACUGUAUGCCUUCUGCGUUAAUUUUAUGCAUUCUGAAUAUUCAUAACUAUGCUAUAUGAUAUUGAAAUAAAUUAUGAGGUUUUUUUUCAUAAUAAUCAAUUCAAACAAAUAACGCAUUUUAAUAUGUGGACCUCAGAGCGAUACAAAAUAUAUUUUUGUGAUCUGCAUUUUCAAAGUCGGUGGAUUAAAGCGUCCUGGGAAAAUAUGGCGAAAAAAUCUUUGCAAAAACGAUCACAGAGCAAAGGGUGUGAACGAUAAACCUUUAAUCUCGCCAACAGCGGACUUAAUAUCCGUGGAAGUCAACAAACACGUCGCUAUUUAAUGUAGACGACUUCAUUCCCCCCCAAAAAGUCCGAUGUAUUUGCACAAAAGUCUGAGAUGUGAAAGGGUGCUAUGUUGGUAAUGUUGUAAAUGUAAAAAUAAUUGAAUCUUGACUGUGUUGUAAAUGGUGGCGUGGACAUGGGAUGUUUAUGAGACAGAAACCUUAUGAAUCCAUAAAUAUAUAGCCUAUGAUGUCUUUUGGAGGGGCUUAUGGCAUAAGACAUAUAUAUAGAUAUACAUACAAAUACUUUUGAAUUAUUAUGAAUUGUAUCUGCAUAUUAUUGGAUUUAUGACAUUGAAUCAUUCUCAUGUUUUGAAAUAAACAUUUAUAC
ensembl:lncRNA